AUGUACAUUCCUACAACAUAUUGUUAAUGAACUAGAUCCCAUUACAACUCCACAGUUAAUCAUGCUUGGGCUAGAGUAGAAGUGUGAUGGAUGACCACCCAAAAAGUCCUAGUGUUUUACAUG
rfam:Picea glauca, whole genome shotgun sequence.